UCACAGAUUCAUAGGUAUGCCCUUUCUCGGUCUCUCCGCUAUGCCCGUGACCUUCUCCUGUCCGUUGAUGCAGCUUCAGUAAAAAGAGUACUGGAUACCAGAAGCCAUUCGCACAUCCCCGUGACGGCUACUUUGUAUUCGGAUGUCUUCCAUAUCAACUUUCGAUGUCAGUUUCUGCACCUACCAUGUUGACCACGGGUAACAGGGAAUUAGGGUUCCAUUCCGUACAGGGACCCUGAGAAAUGGCUACCACAUGCAAGGAAGGCAGCAGGCGCGCAAAUGAUCCACUCCCGACGCGGGAAGGUAGUGAUGA